rnacentral:rRNA from 1 species
UACGUAGGGAGCAAGCGUUGUCCGGAAUCAUUGGGCGUAAAGCGCGCGUAGGUGGCUUCGUAAGUCCGUUGUGAAAGUCAAAGGCUCAACCUUUGAAAGCCGAUGGAUACUGCGGAGCUAGAGUACGGAAGAGGCGAGUGGAAUUCCUGGUGUAGCGGUGGAAUGCGCAGAUAUCAGGAGGAACACCAAUGGCGAAGGCAGCUCGCUGGGACGGUACUGACGCUGAGGCGCGAAAGCGUGGGGAGCAAACAGG